UGUAGUUCCAAUCUGGUUGGU
rnacentral:misc_RNA from 1 species